rnacentral:rRNA from 1 species
AUUGAACGCUGGCGGCAGGCCUAACACAUGCAAGUCGAGCGGAUGAAGGGAGCUUGCUCCUGGAUUCAGCGGCGGACGGGUGAGUAAUGCCUAGGAAUCUGCCUGGUAGUGGGGGAUAACGUCCGGUAACGGGCGCUAAUACCGCAUACGUCCUGAGUGAGAAAGUGGGGGAUCUUCGGACCUCACGCUAUCAGAUGAGCCUAGGUCGGAUUAGCUAGUUGGUGGGGUAAAGGCCUACCAAGGCGACGAUCCGUAACUGGUCUGAGAGGAUGAUCAGUCACACUGGAACUGAGACACGGUCCAGACUCCUACGGGAGGCAGCAGUGGGGAAUAUUGGACAAUGGGCGAAAGCCUGAUCCAGCCAUGCCGCGUGUGUGAAGAAGGUCUUCGGAUUGUAAAGCACUUUAAGUUGGGAGGAAGGGCAGUAAGUUAAUACCUUGCUGUUUUGACGUUACCAACAGAAUAAGCACCGGCUAACUUCGUG